CCUACGGGAGGCAGCAGUGGGGAAUAUUGCACAAUGGGCGAAAGCCUGAUGCAGCGACGCCGCGUGAGGGAUGACGGCCUUCGGGUUGUAAACCUCUUUCAGCAGGGAAGAAGCGAAAGUGACGGUACCUGCAGAAGAAGCGCCGGCUAACUACGUGCCAGCAGCCGCGGUAAUACGUAGGGCGCAAGCGUUGUCCGGGAUUAUUGGGCGUAAAGAGCUCGUAGGCGGCUUGUCACGUCGGAUGUGAAAGUCCGGGGCUUAACCCCGGGUCUGCAUUCGAUACGGGCUAGCUAGAGUGUGGUAGGGGAGAUCGGAAUUCCUGGUGUAGCGGUGAAAUGCGCAGAUAUCAGGAGGAACACCGGUGGCGAAGGCGGAUCUCUGGGCCAUUACUGACGCUGAGGAGCGAAAGCGUGGGGAGCGAACAGGAUUAGAUACCCUGGUAGUCCACGCCGUAAACGUUGGGAACUAGGUGUUGGCGACAUUCCACGUCGUCGGUGCCGCAGCUAACGCAUUAAGUUCCCCGCCUGGGGAGUACGGCCGCAAGGCUAAAACUUAAAUGAAUUGACGG
rnacentral:rRNA from 1 species